GCACAACGCGUAAGAAUUUUCUCAGCAUAGCGCAGGUUUUGAUCAGGAGUAGCUGGCUGUGUGUAGUUUUUAAUGGAGUGAUGAACUUUUGUUUACAGUAAAGGAAUAUUUUGACCAAUAUUUUCAACAUGAAUUUGUCGGACGAGAUGCUGACGACUCCUAAUGCUCAAUAUUUGCAUCCGGACUACUUGCAGCCGUUACCGACAACAGUGAGUAUACAUUUCUGAUUUAGCCACUGUUAACUAGUAGACUAGUUGUUGUAGCUAAAUCUUUUACAAGUUUAAUAUCAUAUAAAAGCGUAGUCGUGACUGGUCAUAGACAAACCAUCCCUUUAAAACAAGACUUUAAGACUUUAUUUUAUUUUUCUAGCUGGACGCAAAGAAAAGUCCUUUGGCUCUGUUAGCGCAGACGUGUAGCAGCAUUGGAAAGGAUCCUUCUCCGAAUAGCAAGCCUAUAAUUCCACCGUUUGGGAAAAAGGAACCGGAAAAGGCACAAGAAAAAUCACAGACUCCAGAAAAUAAAAGAUCUGGUUCGUCUAAUAGCAAAACAGAGGUCCAGCAAACUCGUGAUUUGUCAUCAAGUGAAAAACCGGGAUUCAGAACUGUGCCGUCAAAAGACCUACCUCCCUUGGUACAAGUGAGUUCCCAGGAAAAGCCGAAAUCCCCAGUAACGCCUGUGAAAAAGUCGGUAGAACCGGCGAAAGUGUCUGUUUCUAAGACCUCCUCGCACAGUUCACCGUCUCCGUGUAGUACCAGCUCCCAAACCAAAGUAGCAAGUAGCCGGGACUCGGAUUCCGAGCCCGAACCUCGGGAGUCUACGGCAAAAAGUCGAGGCUCACCGGAAACCUCGAUAUCAUCGAAAACGAAUCCAUUUUCAUCCGUUACCGGAUUUCCUGGCUUUUCCGGUUUUCCACAUGCAUAUCCAGGGUUUCCUUAUUUAGGACACGGUCUUCCAGGUGAACUGCCGUCUUCCAUUCCAUACCCAUCCCCGCUUUCUGCACAUGCUGGACUAUAUUCUUCAAGCAGUGCCGCGGCGGCAAUGGCUCUAGCCCAGAGUCAAGCAGCAGCCCUAAAGCACACCUCGGCACUUUCCUCCCCCUAUGUCACAUACACCCGUGUUCGAACCCCUUCAGGAUCGACAACUUUAGUACCCGUAUGUCGUGAUCCAUAUUGCAACAAUUGUCAACUAACUAUGCAAACCCAGCACUUGUCCUCACAAUGCACUUCCCCAGGAUGUGCUCAAUGUGCACAUGAGAAAUCCCUUCUUAGUCUAAGUGGACUUGGAUUACCAGGAUCAGUUCCAAUGCUCCCGGGAUUUCCGGGGUCAGCAGCGGCAAGUUCCGGACUUCAUUCCUUACCGUCAUCGCUUUCAUCUCUUUAUCCACCAGGAGCACUCGGAACCCCUCAUGGACUACCCUUUGUGUGUAACUGGAUGUCGGGUACUGACUAUUGUGGGAAACGUUUUACAAAUUCGGAAGAACUCUUACAACAUUUAAGGACUCACACCACCACAUCAGAGGCUAAUUCCCUCGCCGCGGCUUACGGGGGAUUUCCAGGAUUUCCUUCGGCCCUCAACCCAGCUUCCCACCUCCCCACCCCAGGAGCUGUGAGUCCUAAUUCCAUCAGGAGAUCGUACCCCACGAGUCUGAGCCCUGUCAGCAGCUUGUUGGGGGCGAACAGAUACCACCCGUACAAAUCCUCUCUCCUACCCAGCCAAAGUGUUCCUCCAUUAGGACCCUACUACUCACCGUAUGCACUUUAUCAACAACGAUUGGGGGCAGUACCUUAACGAUAUAUUUUUUUUGUGGAAAUCCGUUUGUUUGUGUGUGCCAAUGUUAUAUAUAAAAAUAUCAGAAUAUGGGAGUUUCGACAGUGCUAUGUAUGUGGAAUGUGUUAGAAUUCUAUUGUGUUUAUUUAUGACCAAAUUUUAUAUGUAAUAUCAGAAGUGUUUUUUAAAAAUAUUUUCAUCAUUAAAAUGUGGAUAUUAU
rnacentral:misc_RNA from 1 species